GGCAAUGAAGAGGGAGUAUGAAGAAUUUAAAAUACGAAUCAAUGCUCUUGUUGCAAAAGCGCAAAAAAUGCCUGAAGAAGGUUGGACAAUGCAAGAUGGAACAGCUUGGCCUGGAAAUAACCCUAGGGAUCAUCCAGGAAUGAUCCAGGUCUUUUUGGGGCACAGCGGGGGCCUUGAUACUGAUGGAAAUGAACUUCCUCGUCUGGUGUAUGUUUCUCGUGAGAAGCGACCAGGUUUUCAACACCACAAGAAAGCUGGAGCUAUGAAUG
rnacentral:misc_RNA from 1 species